rnacentral:rRNA from 1 species
UACAGAGGUCUCAAGCGUUUGUUUCGGGAUUCAUUGGGCGUAAAGGGUGCGUAGGCGGCGCGGUAAGUCGGGGUGUGAAAUCUUGGAGCUUAACUCCGAAACUGCAUUCGAUACUGCCGUGCUUGAGGACUGGAGAGGAGACUGGAAUUUACGGUGUAGCGGUGAAAUGCGUAGAUAUCGUAAGGAAGACCAGUGGCGAAGGCGGGCUCUG